GACGAACGCUGGCGGCGUGCCUAAUACAUGCAAGUAGAACGCUGAAGAGAGGAGCUUGCUCUUCUUGGAUGAGUUGCGAACGGGUGAGUAUCGCGUAGGUAACCUGCCUUGUAGCGGGGGAUAACUAUUGGAAACGAUAGCUAAUACCGCAUAACAAUGGAUGACACAUGUCAUUUAUUUGAAAGGGGCAAUUGCUCCACUACAAGAUGGACCUGCGUUGUAUUAGCUAGUAGGUGAGGUAACGGCUCACCUAGGCGACGAUACAUAGCCGACCUGAGAGGGUGAUCGGCCACACUGGGACUGAGACACGGCCCAGACUCCUACGGGAGGCAGCAGUAGGGAAUCUUCGGCAAUGGGGGCAACCCUGACCGAGCAACGCCGCGUGAGUGAAGAAGGUUUUCGGAUCGUAAAGCUCUGUUGUAAGUCAAGAACGAGUGUGAGAGUGGAAAGUUCACACUGUGACGGUAGCUUACCAGAAAGGGACGGCUAACUACGUGCCAGCAGCCGCGGUAAUACGUAGGUCCCGAGCGUUGUCCGGAUUUAUUGGGCGUAAAGCGAGCGCAGGCGGUUUGAUAAGUCUGAAGUUAAAGGCUGUGGCUCAACCAUAGUUCGCUUUGGAAACUGUCAAACUUGAGUGCAGAAGGGGAGAGUGGAAUUCCAUGUGUAGCGGUGAAAUGCGUAGAUAUAUGGAGGAACACCGGUGGCGAAAGCGGCUCUCUGGUCUGUAACUGACGCUGAGGCUCGAAAGCGUGGGGAGCGAACAGGAUUAGAUACCCUGGUAGUCCACGCCGUAAACGAUGAGUGCUAGGUGUUGGAUCCUUUCCGGGAUUCAGUGCCGCAGCUAACACAUUAAGCACUCCGCCUGGGGAGUACGACCGCAAGGUUGAAACUCAAAGGAAUUGACGGGGGCCCGCACAAGCGGUGGAGCAUGUGGUUUAAUUCGAAGCAACGCGAAGAACCUUACCAGGUCUUGACAUCCCGAUGCUAUUUCUAGAGAUAGAAAGUUACUUCGGUACAUCGGUGACAGGUGGUGCAUGGUUGUCGUCAGCUCGUGUCGUGAGAUGUUGGGUUAAGUCCCGCAACGAGCGCAACCCCUAUUGUUAGUUGCCCUCAUUCAGUUGGGCACUCUAGCGAGACUGCCGGUAAUAAACCGGAGGAAGGUGGGGAUGACGUCAAAUCAUCAUGCCCCUUAUGACCUGGGCUACACACGUGCUACAAUGGUUGGUACAACGAGUUGCGAGUCGGUGACGGCAAGCUAAUCUCUUAAAGCCAAUCUCAGUUCGGAUUGUAGGCUGCAACUCGCCUACAUGAAGUCGGAAUCGCUAGUAAUCGCGGAUCAGCACGCCGCGGUGAAUACGUUCCCGGGCCU
rnacentral:rRNA from 1 species